UCAGUCAGGGGACAGAGCGCAGCCUCAGCACCUCGGACAGAAGGAAAACACUCGCUCACACGCUGCGGAUGAACGGCCGUCCCACGCUCUCUGCUCGUGCACGGACUUGCAACAAGAAAAAAAAAAACGCCUUCUGGUAACGGAUACAAACACACCAUUCAACAAGGAUAUCGCACCCAAAGCCCGCCGCGGACAACCAGCCUCGGCAGAUGGUGUGGGAUUUAUCGAUCUAGUCCACGCGCUCACCUGUUUGUCAAAGUCAGGCUGCACAAACUCAUGUGUCCUGCACAUCUGGAGCCUGGACGAUUCUACCGACCGGAUGGUUAAGUCUCCAUGGAUGCAGGAGGCACGAUGAGAAAGAAGCUUCCGACUUUCCUUUUGCUGUUAGAGAAAACAACGGAGCCUGUUCCUGUCUUUGGUUAUCUAGCUGUAUGAGUGUUAAUCAUCCAUCAUAAAGCUAGAUAACCGAAAGUAGGAAUGACCUCCAAACCUUCAACUUCCUGCAAUAAUGAGAAUAAACAACAAGAAAAACACAAGAGGACAUUACGACUUUUCAGGUGGGUUAUGAAACACUAGUCUCAUUAUCUGAACAUGCAAAGGACACACAUUUAGAGCUACGGCAAUUAGUGAAAAACAGUCAGCAGCUAUAAUUUAAGUUAUUUUUAAACUUUUUUAACUUCCAGUUCUCAGUUGUGAGGAUGUGUUGCUGCUCUUAUGAUAGUGCAUGAAAUAUAUUGGUAUUUUGGACUGUUGGUCAGAAAGAAUAAGCAUUUUGGUGACAUAAUUUUACGCUUUAGGAAAUUGUUUUCUAACAUGUUAUGAACCAAUUAAAUUAAUUGACAAUAAAAAUAAUUCUAAAUUUAUAAAUAUAUAUCUACAUAUGUAUCUAUAUAUUUAUAGAUAUAUAUAUAUAGAUAUCUAAAGUAUAGCAGUCUUUUUAUUUCAUUUUUGCUUUGAAAAUUCCCCUUGUUCAAUUACUCCACUUAGAAGGCCAGACACAAAUAAUAGUUUCUCCCUGUAAGCUAUUGUUCAUUUACCUGUCAAAAGACAGAAUUCACUUUUCUGAAGGAUGUUUUCUGUCAUCUGAGACCGUGGGAGUAAUUAUUUACACAAAUCAGACACGUUCACUUUUAUAGAGGUAAUAUAUGUGAGAGUUACAAAUCUAAAAGGGGCCCCUGCUGUAAUAGGCUCUUGAACACACACAUGAAUGUUGCUGUCCCACGCUUACUUUACACAGACUUUUGAUACCUGAUACUAUUUCUUUGCAUCAAAGUUCUUGCUGUCGACUCAUCCCCUCACUAAAGCCUCUAUUGAACAAACUUAAAACAAUUAAAAUACACCAAACCAAGUUAACCCCGGCUCAUUGUUCCUAUUGCUUUAUUAACUCAAAUGCUUUUUAGAUAGUAUAACUCUAUCUACUUAAUUUAAGAUAUAAAUUAUAAUAUAAAUUAUUCUUUUCAUUUUACAAAUUCUUAAUUCUUUAAAGAAAUUCUUCUUGAAUGUCUUUGAAUAAUUGUAGCAAAACAGGUGACCUUUUGCAGCCUUUAACCCUAGUGAUGCAGAGUGAGUGGAACAAUACGAUGUUAUGUGCAUAACUUUGUACGUUUUAUAUUGUCACUCAGAUUGACUAUACAUUUUACGUAACCUAAUUGUCAGCCCAUUUUAAACAUCCACUAAUUUCACUUUGUAAAGAAAUAACAGGCAGCCUUACAUUGCUUCCCUAAACCCUGUCCUGCAUAUUAGCAAUAAAAUAAAAACCGAUCCAAUCUGUCGAGCCAAAGGCAACAAAAGACAAGUGUCAGCUUGUCUUUCAUAAGAAAAGGCUCAGAUGAACCAAAAAAAAAUCCCCAUUUAGAGGCAUUUUUUUCUGAAAUCACACAAAAGACAUAAUUUUAGUUUGAAUUACUUUUUUUUAAUGCAAUUUCAGGUAUUAUUUCAUGUACAAACACAGAUUGUGCAGCAGUUAUAUACUGCCAACAAUUUUACACAAGGUAUCUGAAUUGCAAAGAAAAACUAAAACGUUUUCCUAAACCUAAAUGGCCUGUUACACCUUUACUCUAAAGGAAAGGCCUGUGUCGGAUGGUGCAGAUUAGAACUCAGCCUCCUUCCCUGCCAGAACAUCAUGUUGUGUAAAUGGAAGCCAUCUUGAUGGAGCCCCUCUGCUGCCUCUAAAAUGGUUGUGUUGCACAUAGCAGGGCCGCUUGAAUUAGUCCAUCGUUAGCUGGCUAUCAGACACCAAUCAGCGUUGUCUUUAAGCCUUCCUGUCUGAACUCUUACAACACGUCUCCUCUGGGUGUGAUCUCACUAACAAAGAUGUAGCUAAUUGCUGAGGUCAUGUUACCGAGCCCUUUUAAAGUCCAAUCAAAAUCAGCCAGUGUACAUAUAACUGCUACUGUGAUUAAACAGUGAAAGAAUGAAUCAGUGAUUCGGAGAUAGAAAAUCUCAUGACAUUUGAUUUUAUUAAAGCUGCUGUUCCUGUACACAUCCUGACAUCUCCCAUUAAUGUUGCAAAAUGUUUGCAAGGGAAUAUUAUAAUAAGUCUAAUUAGUUAAGUCAAGUUUAGAGAAACAACACUCAGCAGACUUUUCAUAACUAAAAUUAAAACUCUGACUCAGGUUUUACAAGUUAAAGUAAUUGUUGCUUGUUUGCAUGACAAAAAUAAUUCAAAUUAAAUACAUUUGCAGAUAGCUACACUGACCAAACUCUGGACAUUUUAAGGUCAUUUAAAACGGAUAAUAACUACCUGCAAUCACCUGUCAGAUCCAAUGUGCCCACAUCCUCCUCAUGCUCGACUCGGACCACAUAAAACAGCAAUACAUCUAAAUCUGUGAUUUUAAUGGAAAAGAAAAGUUAAAUAUGAAACAACAAUUUUAGAUGUUUUUGUAUAUUCUCUAUUUGUUUGACGAUUUAUAGAGAGACACUAUCUUUUUAAUUAAAUAGUGCUCAGAUCUUACAUUUACAGAAAUUAUCAGAUAAAUUAUUAGUUAAAACUACAUGGAUAAAUGAGCCUUAUUAGGCCUUGAAUAAGGCCCUUACUGUACAUGAAACUUCUUCCUGAGAACUGUUUUUUUUUGGCAGAAAAUGACAAGAUAAGAAGCCUUUAGUCUGUAAAUCUGCUUUGGAAAAAUCUUACAGACCUGCAGCCUUUUAAUUAAUGUAUUCAUUAUUAUUUAUAGUUGUAGGUGUAAAGGGUAGAGAUACAGCCACAAUGAGUGUGUCCCAUGAACAUUGAACAUGGAAAUCAUUUAUCAUUUAUCAUUAAAAAUCAUUUAUUUUCAACAACAAUACGGAUCAGUAACACAGUGGUGGAAACAGUGAUACACGUUCCAUUCAUACAUCAAUCAACAAGAAUCAUAGUUAAGAAAUCAGACUGGAGAAGGAGGCCUAUUUCAAAUUAGCAUUUGUCCCUUUUUUCGAAAAAGCCAGAGCCUACCUUAAGGGCUAAUUUAAAAAAAAAAAAAAUGAUAAUAGAGAAAAAUACAAAUGUAACCUUGUAACCCAGCGGUGUGUUUUAUCCGCAGUGUUGAAACAGAGAGGAGGAGUGGAGCUCACACAGAACAAAAAACAUUACACGUUUUUAUCUGUCAUGAGCACUCUCUGCCGGUCUCUCCGCCAGACCAUUGCUGUGGGAUAAAGCAGACCUGCCAAAAAACCCAAGAGUGGCCUACAAUGAUGGAAAAUUAAGGAAACAAUCGCACAACUACAGCCGAUAAUGAAUAGGAGCCAGACUGGCUCAGCAUAUUAACAUAAUUGCAUAGAAACGACGGGAGCAGAGAGAGUAUUUAAAGGCACAGCGGCACCCAGCGUGCCCCUUCAUCCGCUGUUAUCUGCCCGUCUGGAGAACACAACCAAUAUGAACAUUUGCAUUCUGGACAAAAAACGAACAGUCAAUUAUAUUGGCAUUAAAAAAAAUAUAAUGCAGUACAGAAGUUAUCUAUUACGAUUCACCCUUAAACAUAACCUGAACUUAAAAUGCUCUGCCUAGAGGCCUAAUCUGAAAAGGAAAAAAAAUAGGUUUGCCUCUAAGUAAAUAUACAUAACUAGUUAGCCUACAACCAAGGCUGUAAAACACUGUCACUCAUCCCUGAACAUUUUCACUAGACUCUCAAAGAUGUACUAUAAUAAUUUGUCAACAUGAAGAAUAAAAACAGUUUUAAAAGCUGCCUCCAAAUUACCAAGAUUUAAAUUCCUGUAGGGAAAUGCUGAGUAAAGUUGUUGUUACAAUUAGACAUAUUUAAUUUCUACUGUGUAUAUAUAUAAAAUAUUGAAAAAAGCCUACGCCCAUUAUGUGUACAUUUUUAAUAGUAGAAUGUGAUUUCCACUGGGUUGCUAUAAUAAUCAAACAUUUGCAGUGAAAAGUUAAUCUGCCAAGUCUCUGCUUUGAACUGUUGUGUUUCAAAGAAUUUGCCCUCAUAAUUUAAAACAAUGUCAAAUGUUGCACAAAGUAACUGUUGAUAUGGUGCCAUUAUUAAGACCAAAGACUUCAAAACAGUCCUUGCUCUCAAAAUAAACUCUUUCAUAUUGUGAUGUAUAACGAUCUUGGCCUGUUGUCUUCCACACGCCACCUGAGUGUAAUGUAACAAUCUGUGUUUAAAGGUUUGCUGCUUUCUUAUCAUGACAAAGGCAAGGAACCCAUUGGUUUAAGUCGGCACCACGGCUUGAAAAAUAAAAGGGGGACUGUUUCUUUAUUAGACACUAGGCUGUAAUUAGACAAGCAGCUGGGGGAGGGGCAGGUGUGAAGCUGGGUGAUAAUAUGAGCUCAUACAGCAAAACACUGUGUGACUACCAUCACAGAGCACAUCAGCCUUAUUAGCGUGUUUAAAAAUAGGUUUUGUUCUUAGAUUCAAACAUUUCUGUGUGUGUCGGUGACUCUGUUUGAUUUAGAUUUGAAUUAACAUCAUCCUUGUGUAAUUAAAAACCACCAGAAGAUAUUUCAAUAGGCCUAAUUGGAAUUAUGUGGCUGAAUGUCUGCUAGCUAAAACGAUUAUAGCAGAAAUAACCUUUCCUCAUACGCUUUGGCUGUCAGCCACUUAAUGCACAAUAACCAUUGUCUAUAAUGAGGCUGUUGUAAACAUAAUCUAGCCCUACUGUCUUGCCUAAUUGAAAAAAAUCCUGAAAAAGAUGAUCUUAGUCAUAUUUACAAGCCACCAUUCAAUACAUUAAUUAAUUAAUUAAUUAUUUAAUUAAUGAAUAAGGGUCCCACACCAAUUACUGUACACAUGUACAGUAUAAGUGUUGUUUGUUUCCCCCUGAUACACAAACCCUCUCAGACGCAGCUUGUUGGUGCUGUGAACUGCAGCUGCAGGAGACCUGUUGGUAAACAGUAGCCAGCGUCCACAUUAUCAUUCUGAUCCUGGCUUUGCUCCACAAUGGCUGCUUUGUGAAAGGAGCACUUGACAAAGGUCCACCACGUCUUUUUCCCAACGUUGUAUAUGUGAGAGGGCGCUGCAGUAAACUGGGCAGUGAGGUGGGAACGUCGCGUCCAACCAGACCGGCAGAUGCCUGCAUUAGCACUGCAGCCAUGAGAGUGUCUCCUGGAGAAGUUGUCCCUUUGUCUUCCUGCCUCUUUAUGUCUGUGAUUGACUCUCUCACAGUCAGUGUAUGGGUGUGGAUGGAUGUGUGGUCUCACGCCAGAACUAAUGUUAAUGGAAAAGAAUGAGGCCAGUGAGUCAAAUGUGUAUCCUACUUGAUUUAUAUUACUAGAAGUAUCUCAAUAGAGAACAGUUCUCUGCCGAAUAUGAGCAAUUCUCCUGUUUGCAAAGAUGUAGCCUCACGUAGUCAAGGUUUUUGUCUGUCAUAAACACCUAGAGCAACGAAAAAAAUAAGAAAACAAAAUAAAAAUACACUAAUUCUAUUCAGUAUGGGACCUGGACAUAAGGAGUCAAUUAUAUAAAUUAUACAGAAUAAAAUUAACUAUAGCAUCUCUUAACAACAGCAUAUAAUCUCUGAAAUCCAUGGAAUUCUUUCCAUUUUGUUACAGAGGGUAGACACACUGAAUGGAUAUUUUUAUCAAAUCACGUUGAUAAGAGUAAUCUCAGUAAAGGCUAUUAUCCGUUAUUGAUUUCCUUUAUUACUUUGAUACUAAUCACACACUCGUUUAAGAGGGGCAGACUUAAAAGGAUUUUUAAAAUGUAAAGGAAUAAUACAGCUGGCAGUAUCAGCAAAAACACUGAGACCUAUGUGUAUGCAGGUCUUCGUUGUAAUGUGUGAGUGAGUUAAAGUGUGUUUUGGGGUGUUACAUGAUCUGUCUCUGUUGCCAUGUGUCAGAGACUGCAUUUUAACAAAAGAGACGAUGCAAUCCACACAUCAAACUUUCAUUGCCAGGUCUCAUCCUUAGUAAAAGCUGUUGUGUUUUCUGUUGUGAGACCUCGCUUUCCUUAGAACAAAGCCAUGGUUGCACCGUAUGACCCAGGCAUCCUGGUCCAAACAGGACAAACAGACCAUUUGUCUCCGUACCAGAACCUGUGUACAACUUGAACGACGUGAGCUCUCCUGAAGGCAGGACAUCGUAUGGUUUACGUCCCGGCAGCCCCCUUUCCCCCAACAAGGAUACCACAGCUGCGAUCCUGUCUUAAUCUGGGGAUAAAUGUGAUUAUCCUGCUAUGGCUUGUUCUUGGCUUUGUAACAGCGACAGGGGACUUUUUACAGCUCCCUUUUUUCCCAUGGUCGAGUGGGUCUGAGCAGCUAAGACCCCCAAUGUAGACCAGUCGCCAUUCUUCGGCUUUAGGCAGGAGCAAACAAGUACGUUACAGCAACCCUGAAGCAGAUAGAGAUAAACAGUGGAUGUUAAAAAUAUUAUGGAUCUGCAGCACCACACAGUCCUCAUCUCGAUUGUUUCAAAAUAUAUUUCAGAAGAUACUAUUUUCGGCACAAAUACCAGUAAUACUAAAUAAUAAGUAAGUAGUUCACAACAUUCUGCAAUCUGUGUACUAUUUAAAGUAUAUGCCACUAGACUACAUAGUAUGACAUAUGUGAUACUAGUGGAAGAUAAAAAAAAGAAGUUAUUCUCAAUCUUACUAUUUAAUAAAAGAAUUAUAAUAUUAAUAUCAUAAUUCAUACAUUACAAUAAUGAUUAUUUAUGUUAUGUAUUAUGUGUUAGCAUACAUUAGUAUUUAUUAUAGAUCAUUUAUAUAUUUCAUUAUAACAGGACAAUUUAUAAUUAUGCAAUUGCAAUAAAACUUUUUAUUUUUAGAUAUUUGACCAAAACAACUUAACUCAAGCUAUUUGCUGCAGUAUUACCCGAUUUUAAUUGAAAUGAUCCUAAUCAUGCUACAAAUCAAGAUAAACUCACUAAUAAAUAAUUUGUUCAUUCAUGAUUAACACAGACGAUAUUUGAUAUUCACAACAAAUAAAAGCUUUGUGGGAACUAAAUCACAGAAGAGAAUCUCUAAGGAAUGGAUUUCCAUUCUCCUCCGCCAGUCGUUCAGACUGUCAGUCAAGUUCAAGUUCACAGGGGUGGAAAUGUCUCGACUCUACAUUCACUUCUGUCGUUCCUCCCCC